GCCGCUGUUGCUCCACCGUUGGUUUUACCUCAUCUUCCAUCAAAAUGUUUUGCAUGCAAAAUGAAGGCCUGAUUCCCUUUAUGUCGGUGAUUGUCCACCCAAUAGCUGAUUUGUGUUCCCGAAGCACCCUCAGCAGCUUUUCUUCCUGAAAUUCGUUAAGUGCAGCUGAAAUAAUAACAGGUAAAGAAUUUAAAUUGCCUAAAUACGCAUACCUGAGGUGCUUAGGAAGUGGCUUAAGUUCCAGUUUUGGUGGCUCUUCCAAUGAUGGUUUCAGUUUUUCUGCGGUUACCUCCUAUAUGUGCAGUGGUUCAAACGGUGUUCUAAAUAUUGGUAAUCGUGGCAAUGAGUCUAUCGAUUGAAGGUCCACUAAUUCUGGAUCAUCGAUCUCUUCAUCUCCCAAUAACGUUAUUUCUAACGGAU
rnacentral:lncRNA from 1 species